rnacentral:sRNA from 1 species
CAAUAGAAUAGGCUUGCAAGGGCGGUCGGCUAGUCUCCCGGAAGGGAGGUGAUGCCAUGGAGGUAUUUCAAGCGUUGCAAUUAAUGUUCCUGUUCGGAAUGUUUAUUCUGGCGCUGCUUGCCUACCUGAAAAAGAAAUAGACCGCCCCGGGCAAAGGUAGCGGUCUAUUUUGCUGCUUAACCUACACCAAGCUUACCGCCCUUAAAAGCGGCUAUUACAUCGGGAGUCGUGUUCGCUGCACGCUCC